GACGAACGCUGGCGGCGUGCCUAAUACAUGCAAGUCGAACGCAGUGGGGACGGGUGAGUAACACGUGGCUAACCUCCCAUCAGAGGGGAUAACACUUGGAAACAGGUGCUAAACCGAUACUGAUGGAUGGACCCGCGGUGCAUUAGCUAGUUGGUGGGGUAACGGCUCACCAAGGCCACGAUACAUAGCCGGCCUUAGAGGAUGAGCGGCCACACUGGAACUGAGACACGGCCCAGACUCCUACGGGAGGAAGCAGUAGGGAAUCUUCGGCAAUGGACGAAAGUCUGAUCGAGCAAGGCCGCGUGAGUGAAGAAGGCUUUCGGAUCGUAAAGCACUGUCAUUAGAGAAGCGGUAUCCGAACAGAAAGCCACGGCUAACUACGUGCCAGCAGCCGCGGUAAUAC
rnacentral:rRNA from 1 species